rnacentral:lncRNA from 1 species
AUAUGAUUUUCUCCUGAAAAUUCAGCCCUCAAGCAAGACAUUACCAACAUGAAAGUAGAUACCAAGAUGAUAAGACCGUUCACAACCCCUCGGUUGAACAAUUAUGAAGUAAUAUCAAGGAAUCGAAAGCUACCUGUCAUAUCUGCCAAAAGGAUCUCACUUAUGUUGCCAGUUAUUACAACCAUCUCUCCAGACAUCAUACCAAGGCUGAUCUGUCGCUUUGUAUCUUGGAACUAUCAAAAUUAUUGGCCCCAAAAGCGAGCAUCUCAACCGCUUCUAGUGUCUCCUUAGAAAGUGACGGAGGAACUUCUGUCUGUAACAACACUCCUGAGGUUGAUGAUAAAAUCACUAUCGAUAGUCAAAACACAGCCCACUGAAUUGUCAUCUUCAGAUAGAAAGAAUGACUCAGAAAGUCUCAGCUCAAACUUAAACCUGACUUCAUCUAGUUCAUGCAAGGUUCACCAUUCCUCAAGUCAGUUGAAUUUUCUGACUGAAAAUUGCAUUGAGCUUGAAGGCAGUAAGAAAAAUUCAGCUCAAAGUUCUAUAAGUCUGGAAGAACUCAGCAGUAUUCCAAAAGAAAAUGACCCAAAAAUUUCUGCCACAAAUUCGUGUGAGCCAAAAUCUGCCAAUGAGGAACAAAUUUCGUUCUGUAGCAAUUUGGGAUUAGGACGACUCAAAGUGUCUGAUGAGCCUAACAGUUCCACCAAUCAGCCUGCCGAUAAUCCUGGACGAAACGAUGUCGAUUCUACAAAGAAAGAUACAUAUCAUUCUAAGCUAUCAACCAAUUUGAUCGUACCUGACAAGUUUUUGCAGAAGAACCUGUAGAGAAAGAUGAUCGUAUUUUCGAGCCUAUGUUGUCACCACUCAUAGAAAAACUUAUUAGCUCUAAGCCUAUUGCAGCAAAGGAUGCAUUGCCAGAAGUUGCUACAGAACUAAAUCUGUCCAAUCUCUUGAAAACCUCCGCAUGGGCUGAGGCAAAAGCUAGGAACCCUGCAGCAACCACUGGGCCGAGCUCGAAGAGAAAGUUUCCAGAUGAAGGUGGCUCAAGACUCUCAACCUCCGUAAGUAAGUUAUACUCUAGGGUUUUUGAAAGAAUAAAAAAGAAACCAAAGUUAAUUCCAGUCAAAACCAAAAUGACUUUUAAGGUGUCUCCAAGAUGUGAUUCAACUCCUAAUUCCGUUGCAACUGGUGUGUCGGAAUCAUCUUCAUCACAAGUUUCAUCCAGUGGAACUUCUAGCAACUUAGUUGAAGCGAGUAAUCACAACACUGUUCGUGAACAGUGUGGCACCUUGAAUCUUUGCAGCCAGCCUCAUGCUUCACACCGUGACCUUCAUACAUCAGAGGGUGCUUGUAUUAACGCCCCGCAGUCGGAUCAUAUUUAUUGUAACAGCAGAUCGGGGGAUGAUUUUGAGUAUUGUCUUUUAGACAGCGCAGGAAAGGGAUCAAAGUCCAGGAGUGGUUCAGAUCCACAGCUGCCAGGUGAAGCUGAUGAUAUUGAGAACAACAGACUACUGUCUCAGGUCUCCACUGAAGUAGAAGUGAUAAAGAUUGGAAAGAAUCUCUGCACGCAGAGAGAAGAAAGUUCAAAAAUGGCAAGUUGUUGUGAUGGCAUUCAGUCAGUUGAAUAUUCCAGUGAAAUGCACAGUUCAAUUGAAACAAUCAUAAGACUCAAACUUUAG